GAUGAACGCUGGCGGCGUGCUUAACACAUGCAAGUCGAACGAGAAAGUGGAGCAAUCCAUGAGUAAAGUGGCGCACGGGUGAGUAACACGUGACUAACCUACCUUUUAGUGGGGGAUAACCUAGGGAAACCUGGGCUAAUACCGCAUAAUACUUACGAGUCAAAGCAGCAAUGCGCUGAAAGAGGGGGUCGCGGUCGAUUAGUUAGUUGGCAGGGUAAUGGCCUACCAAGACUGUGAUCGAUAUCCGGCCUGAGAGGGCGCACGGACACACUGGAACUGAAACACGGUCCAGACUCCUACGGGAGGCAGCAGUGGGGAAUUUUGCGCAAUGGGGGAAACCCUGACGCAGCAACGCCGCGUGGAGGAUGAAGUCCCUUGGGACGUAAACUCCUUUCGAUCGGGACGAUAAUGACGGUACCGGAAGAAGAAG
rnacentral:rRNA from 1 species